AGAGCACACUGAUUGACAGUAUACCAGUAGGAGGAGCUCAAUCCUUAUCCGGACAGGGACAGAAGGCAGUAGCGUCCCUCAAAUCGUUUAUGGAUCAGAUCAAGCUUUUGAAAGGAGAACGGGACGCACUUAAACAGAAGUUUAAAGCUGGUGGUGACACUGAAGAAAUAAUCGAGAAGUUUUCACAGCUGAACACAGAGUCGAAUCUGUUCAAUGAUGAAGGACUGA